rnacentral:tRNA from 1 species
GGCGAUAAGUGGCGCAUUUUACAGAUUUAUCAAAUAAAAACAGCAUCCUAACGUGGAUUGCAAAUCCGUGUACACCGGUUCGAUUCCGGUACUCGCCUCCA